rnacentral:rRNA from 1 species
AUUGAACGCUGGCGGCGUGCUUAACACAUGCAAGUCGAUCGGUAACAGGUGUAGCAAUACAUGCUGACGAGAGGCGGACGGGUGAGUAAUGCUUGGGAAUCUGCCUAUUAGUGGGGGACAACCCGGGGAAACUCGGGCUAAUACCGCAUACGCUCUACGGAGGAAAGCCGGGGACCGCAAGGCCUGGCGCUAAUAGAUGAGCCCAAGUCGGAUUAGCUAGUUGGUAGGGUAACGGCCUACCAAGGCGACAAUCCGUAGCUGGUCUGAGAGGACGACCAGCCACACCGGAACUGAGACACGGUCCGGACUCCUACGGGAGGCAGCAGUGGGGAAUAUUGGACAAUGGGGGCAACCCUGAUCCAGCGACGCCGCGUGGGUGAAGAAGGCCUGCGGGUUGUAAAGCCCUUCCGGUGGGGAAGAAAAGUCUCGACCUAAUACGUCGGGACCUUGACGUAACCCACUAAAGAAGCACCGGCUAACUCUGUGACAGCCGCCGCCGUAAG